rnacentral:rRNA from 1 species
AUUGAACGCUGGCGGCAGGCCUAACACAUGCAAGUCGAACGAGUGGCGGACGGGUGAGUAAUGUCUGGGAAACUGCCCGAUGGAGGGGGAUAACUACUGGAAACGGUAGCUAAUACCGCAUACCAUCGGAUGUGCCCAGAUGGGAUUAGCUAGUAGGUGGGGUAACGGCUCACCUAGGCGACGAUCCCUAGCUGGUCUGAGAGGAUGACCAGCCACACUGGAACUGAGACACUGUCCAUACUCCUACGGGAGGCAGCAGUGGGGAAUAUUGCAGAAUGGGCGCAAGCCGGAUUCAGCCAUGCCGCGUGUAUGAAGAAGGCCUUCGGGUUGUAAAGUACUUUCAGCGAGGAGGCGUUACUCGCAGAAGAAGCACCGGCUAACUCCGUGCCAGCCGCCGCGGUAAUAC